UGCCAGCAGCCGCGGUAAUACGGAGGGUGCAAGCGUUAUCCGGAUUCACUGGGUUUAAAGGGUACGUAGGCGGGCUUAUAAGUCAGUGGUGAAAUCCUUCCGCUCAACGGAAGAACUGCCAUUGAAACUGUAAGUCUUGAGUAUGAUUGAGGUAAGCGGAAUGUAGCAUGUAGCGGUGAAAUGCAUAGAUAUGCUACAGAACACCAAUAGCGAAGGCAGCUUACCAAGUCAUUACUGACGCUGAGGUACGAAAGCGUGGGUAGCGAACAGGAUUAGAUACCCUGGUAGUCCACGCCGUAAACGAUGAGAGCUAGUUGUCUGGCAGCAUGCUGUUAGGUGACGCAGCUAACGCAUUAAGCUCUCCGCCUGGGGAGUACGGCCGCAAGGUUAAAACUCAAAGAAAUUGACGGGGGCCCGCACAAGCGGUGGAGCAUGUGGUUUAAUUCGA
rnacentral:rRNA from 13 species